CUUAACACAUGCAAGUCGAACGGGAUCCUUUCUAGCUUGCUAGGGGGGUGAGAGUGGCGAACGGGUGAGUAACGCGUGAUUAACCUGCCGUGUAGUUUGGAAUAGCUCCUGGAAACGGGUGGUAAUGCCGAAUGUUCCACAUGCUCGCAUGGGUGUGUGGGAAAACGUUUUAGUGCUAUGCGAUGGGAUCGCGUCCUAUCAGCUUGUUGGUGGGGUAGUGGCCUACCAAGGCUUCGACGGGUAGCCGGCCUGAGAGGGCGACCGGCCACAUUGGGACUGAGAUACGGCCCAGACUCCUACGGGAGGCAGCAGUGGGGAAUAUUGCACAAUGGGGGGAACCCUGAUGCAGCGACGCCGCGUGCGGGAUGACGGCCUUCGGGUUGUAAACCGCUUUUAUUGGGGAGCAAGCGUGAGUGAGUGUACCUUUUGAAUAAGCACCGGCUAACUACGUGCCAGCAGCCGCGGUAAUACGUAGGGUGCAAGCGUUGUCCGGAAUUAUUGGGCGUAAAGAGCUCGUAGGCGGUUUGUCGCGUCUGGUGUGAAAGUCCAUCGCUUAACGGUGGAUUGGCGCUGGGUACGGGCAGGCUAGAGUGUAGUAGGGGAGACUGGAAUUCUCGGUGUAACGGUGGAAUGUGUAGAUAUCGGGAAGAACACCAAUGGCGAAGGCAGGUCUCUGGGCUAUUACUGACGCUGAGGAGCGAAAGCGUGGGGAGCGAACAGGAUUAGAUACCCU
rnacentral:rRNA from 1 species